rnacentral:rRNA from 1 species
AAAACGACUCUCGGCAACGGAUAUCUCGGCUCUCGCAUCGAUGAGAACGCAGCGAAAUGCGAUACUUGGUGUGAAUUGCAGAAUCCCGUGAACCAUCGAGUCUUUGAACGCAAGUUGCGCCCAAAGCCUUCGGGUUGAGGGCACGUCUGCCUGGGUGUCACGC